GAUCUCCACACUCAGAAUCCGACUGUUUUUUCCAAUCCUGGCUCUGUAUGAUGUCACUGAGAGCUAAUGCCUCAUAACAAAAUAUGAAUAGCUCAGGUUUAUGGACUCGAAUUGUGACAUUUGAUCAGGACAGUAAAAAUGUGUAUGUAAUGUAUUUCUCUGCAACACCUACUUUUUACAGAUAAAAACUGGGGAUGUGUCACCGUGGCAACCAAGAAAACAGCUUUAAAGGAAGUGCCAACGAUUGUGUCUUAACCCAGACUGUGUCCUGUUUCAUUCCUAACUCUAACCAAUGGUUUUUAAUACUAAAUUUAAUCAAAGCACACAUUUAAACGUUAAAAAAAUUAAUAAUACUUGUGAAGUGAUUUACUCGAGCUCCACCAUCAGCUCCUCCUGUGCCCGCAGCCUUCUCCAGCCUCCAACCAUGAACUGUUUCACCGUUUGAAAGUGGAAAAUCCUGAUUUCAUGAACAUGGAUUGUACAUAUGAGACCGGACGGAUUUAAAGUCAGGGUCAGACUGUCUUCCCGUCUCGGGCACACAGCUCUGGUUGCGAGCAGUGGCAUCCACCCACCUGCUGCUUGGGCCUCCUGUUUGAGAGGGGCGGCCUAUCAGAAGAACGUUGGUUUAAACUGUGAGGACAUAAACAGCUCACAUGAGAAAGAAGAUGAACUGAGAUUCCACGUCAAGUAUUUCUGUUUAUGCAUGAACGGCAUGCAUAUUUGCAUUAAAUCCUCUAGCAGAAAGCAGAGAAAUAUGACAGAGUGUGAACAAAAGAAAACAGCCUUCCACCGAGACCGAGAGAGAGACCCUCCUGUGCAAGAGAAGUAGGACAGGAAACGUGAGGACAGUGAACAUCUGCUUUCCACCCGAUGGAAAAGGACCUCCCUCUUCCUUCUCCUUUCCCCUUAUUACACAUUAUCAAACGAAAGAUAAGAAACACCCAAAAAUACAGGUGAGUUAUCAAAGCAACCUGGGCUGUGAGUAACACCCCAGCAGCUACAAGCUGAGCACCUCUGUGCCAAACCACACUGAUGCAGUAAUUCAUGAUAAAGGAGCCACAAAUAAGUAUUGAGUGUGUAAAUGAAAAUACUUUUUAGAAGUUAUAGAUAUAUUUAUAUCGAAUAAAAACAUGUCAAAAGUAUGGCCUGGGGACAAAAGUGAUCUGCCAAGAGUUCCACAACCCGACCUGCUGGGGGCUUUGCUAAAGGGCAGUAAAUCAGCUUAGAUGACAGUUUAGUUUUCUGUGAAUUUUACAGGAAAUCAUGGAGCAGACUGCCAGUACUUUUUCUAUCAUUUUACAGAUCUGUUUCGUAGACUAUAAACUCGUGGAGACAUGCUGAUGUGUCUCUAUUAUGGUCAUUUGUGCAGAUAAGUGCUUGACAAUAGGCAAUCUCGUACACACGCACACCUUCAUACACCACGUUACUUUUUGCAUAAUGCUCAGUAUUUUGCACCUUUCUAUUGUCUCGUGUCUGUGUCGUUCUGUUCUGUCUGCUGUUGCACAGUGUUUGUUUUGGGGGUUUUGCAAUUUUUGCACUUUGCACUUUAUGUAGUCCUGUGUAGAUUGUCUGUUAUAUGUCACAUGUAGCACCGCGGUCUUGGAGGAACGUUGUCUC
ensembl:lncRNA